GUUUUAAACAGAUUAUUAAAAUCAUGUGUUAAUUAAUCAGAAAAAUUUUUAAGGAUGAUAUGAUUAUUUGGGGCCGACCCAAUAGCAUGAAAAAGGGAUUACUCCCUCCUUUAACUACUGAACCAUGUUUAAUCCCCAACAUAACAUACGGUCAAAGCCAGCACAAUGGGAAGAAGCUUCAUGGAAUGAAGACUCACUUCAGUAAUGAUCCUUCCGCAGGUUCACCUACGGAAA
rnacentral:misc_RNA from 1 species